rnacentral:rRNA from 1 species
GAUGAACGCUGGCGGCGUGCUUAACACAUGCAAGUCGAACGGAAAGGCCCAAGCUUGCUUGGGUACUCGAGUGGCGAACGGGUGAGUAACACGUGGGUGAUCUGCCCUGCACUUCGGGAUAAGCCUGGGAAACUGGGUCUAAUACCGGAUAGGACGAUGGUUUGGAUGCCAUUGUGGAAAGUUUUUUCGGUGUGGGAUGAGCUCGCGGCCUAUCAGCUUGUUGGUGGGGUAAUGGCCUACCAAGGCGUCGACGGGUAGCCGGCCUGAGAGGGUGUACGGCCACAUUGGGACUGAGAUACGGCCCAGACUCCUAAGGGAGGCAGCAGGGGGGAAUAUUGCACAAUGGGCGCAAGCCUGAUGCAGCGACGCCGCGUGGGGGAUGACGGCCUUCGGGUUGUAAACUCCUUUCGCUAGGGACGAAGCGUUUUUGUGACGGUACCUGGAGAAGAAGCACCGGCUAACUACGUG